GAGCAGGGGAACCUUCUGGUGACAUCACAGAGAGGAGCCAGGCAUGCAGUGGUCCCUCAGGAACCGGGGAGAGGCUGGCCAGCUGCGCUUAGGAGAGUCUGGAUGGAGAAACCAGGGAGAGAAAGAACCCCAGGAAGAGGAAGCUCAGGAAGGGCCCUGUAAAAACUGAGAAUGUAACUCCCAUCUGGGUGAUGAAACCGUCCUUUUAUGGCUGGCCCUUCAGUCCACAUCAUUGUUGCCUCCCCAGACCCUUCAAACAAGAUCUGUUGGCCUCCAAGGAGGGAGGAGGGUGCCCAGCCUUGGGGAUGCAAUCCAGGGGAUCCACCUGUUACUGUCUGCCCCUCUCUUGGGAAAGCCAGCUGCCAGCCCCUGCUCCAAUGGGGAAAGAAGGCUGGACCGGUGCUUACAGGGUUCACAAUAAGCCUCCAACAGCUUCUCAGAGAUUCUCGUGUGGUCUGGGCACCCGGCACAAGCUUUCUGUCUGCCCUCCUCCUGCAUCCCAUUGGCAUCUUCACACAGGCACCCAGCAGCCGGAACCACCCAGCCAGGCCUGCACAAGACGUGUGACCACAGAUGCUGGGGGGCACUUGUGCGUGGACGUAUGCCACGUACACAGAAAAGGCUUUGAAGAAGAUUCAAAGCCUCAGGCCAGGAAGCGGUGACCACCCUGGGGGACAGGGGCAACAGUCAAGCUCUCCUGGCCCUGCUCCUGUCACUGCAAGAGUGUCCCCUUUCCUGAGGCCUUGAAGGGCAUUGAAAAUCAUGAUUAUGGGAGGCUGAGAUGGGGUCAGUGGGUUCCAGGGGUCCCUCUGCCUGGCAGCGGGAGGGCACCCCCCUCCCGCCCCGCCCGGAAGUCACUGUGCAAGCUCUGAGAGCUCCCGUAGCCCUGGGGAAGGAGCUUACCCUGAACAACAGCAUGCCAUCAGCCUGCCUUGGGGGUCUUCUCCCUUCUGGGCACCUCCUCUGACUCUUGACUUUUUGGCGCAGGUUAGGAUCUCACGGUUCAUUCGAGCCCUGCAUCAGGUGCUGUGUUGACAAUGCAGAGCCUGCUUGGGAUUCUUUCUCUCCUUCUCCCUCUGCCUCUCCCCUGCUCUCUCUCUCCCUCUCUCUCUCUAAAUAAAUAAAUAAAUAAGCACUAAAAAAAAAAAAAAAAAGAAUGCUCCUUACAAGCUAGUGCUUCGGGGAAACAAAACGUUACCACUCUCCCAGCUCAGAGCACUGUCAGGCAGAAGUGACCUCAGCACUACCUGUUGUUGGUGUCCAGGACACCUGCCAGCCUACUUUGCCACUCCAGGACACCUCUCAGUGCCUGCUGAAAAGCCUCCCACAUUGAUUGGAAAUUUAGUUAAAGCUUUUGAAAUGGGCGAUUUUCUACAAAGGUCACUGCAACUCUACGAAUGGUCUGUGCUGUCUGGUGACCCCCGGAAGGCAUUGGAGGGAAGGGUCAAGAUGUGAGAAGGAAGACCAUGUAGUUUGCAGACCCACAUGUGCAGCCCCUGCCCACACCCACCUGACUUUCCUUUCCUCUUUGUCACAUGAAUACCACACA